rnacentral:rRNA from 1 species
AGGAUCAUUGUNGUGACCCUGACCAAAACAGACCGCGCACGAGUUAUCUAGCCCGCUGGGCGGCGGCCAUMGWCCGUCGCUUGGCAAAAGUCCUCGACAACCUCAUCUUUUCGGAGUUGGGGCUCGGGGUAAAAGAACCCACGGCGCCGAAGGCGUCAAGGAACACUGUGCCUAACGAGGGGAUGUGGCUGGCUUGCUAGCCGCACCCCGAGUUGCAAUUCUAUAUAAUCCACACGACUCUCGGCAACGGAUAUCUCGGCUCUCGCAUCGAUGAAGAACGUAGCGAAAUGCGAUACCUGGUGUGAAUUGCAGAAUCCCGCGAACCAUCGAGUCUUUGAACGSAAGUUGCGCCCGAGGCCUCUUGGCCGAGGGCACGCCUGCCUGGGCGKCACGCCAAACACGCUCCCACCCAACUAACUUGGGGUGGGACGCGGCAUGUGGCUCCUCGUCCCGCAAGGGGCGGUGGGCCAAAGAUCCGGCUGCCGGCCUAUCGUGCCGGACACAGCGCGUGGUAGGAGACCUCGCUUUACUAAACGCAGUGCCUCCGGCGCGUAUAGACCAGCGCGAUGGCCCCAAUGGACCCUUUAACGGAGUGCAUGACGCUCGACCGCGA